rnacentral:rRNA from 1 species
UACGGGGGGAGCAAGCGUUGUUCGGAUUUACUGGGCGUAAAGGGCGCGUAGGCGGUCAGCACAAGUCAGUUGUGAAAUCUCCGGGCUUAACUCGGAAAGGUCAACUGAUACUGUGCGACUAGAGUGCAGAAGGGGCAACUGGAAUUCUCGGUGUAGCGGUGAAAUGCGUAGAUAUCGAGAGGAACACCGGUGGCGAAGGCGGGUCUCUGGGCCGAUACUGACGCUGAGGCACGAAGGCCAGGGGAGCAAACGGG